ensembl:lncRNA
ACUCUGGAACCGCCUCAAGGACCGAGGACGUCCUCAAAGACCUUCUGGGGUCCGUCGGAGGAGGAACUGGACACCACCCAAAGACCUCCGACGCUCCCAAAAUGACUACUGGCAGUUACUCGAUGUGGCCUACCAGUGGAACCUCCUGGAGGACUGUAGAAGACCUUUAGAACUCUGACAAGAACAAAUUGUCUAGUUAAAGAGCAAUACAACCAUCCAAGGACCCCUUAGAAUUUCCUAUUGGACCUCAAGAACCCGAUAGAAUUCAAUUCUUGGACCAUUCAGGUGUCCUAAGAACUUCCAGGAGACCUUCGUUGACUUUGUGAGCCUCCCCCCCCCCUGUUAAAAAACAUGCUGAAUGCGUCGCCGAUGUGGUGACAAAGGGUCUUUUACCUGAGGCCUGAACCUCGGUGAUGUACUGCUGAAGGUCGUGACCCUGCUGGAUGACCUCAUAGAUCAUGUUGUUCAUGGCCAGCCUUCGCUCCAUGUGCCUGCAGAUCAAUAAUCUCCAUCAGUGCCUCGCAGUGGACCCUUUUUUAACGUUCUGUUACUUUACUUGGUUACCUGUGGAUGCGCUGCUGCGCUAGCGUUAGCAUGUCGGCGCUAGCUUCCGCUAGCCGCGCCUGGCCCAGCACUAGCUUGUCCUGGUUAGCGUCAGCGAGCCGCGAUGACGCUAGCCUCUCUGCGGAGAAGUCCUGGGACUGUUUGUGAAGGUCCUGCUUCCAGGCGUCCAUUUCCCCCGUUACCUAGGAAACGGUGACACACGUCAGGUGGGGGGCACCCUGACGUAUUGAUGGUCAAUAAACCUCGUACCUCCAGGGUGCACUGCUGCAGGAUGCGGAGCUGCAGGUAAACGUCCAGUCGGAUCUUCCUCUGGUGGAAGAGUUCUUCCAGCUGAACGUGGGACUCCUCCAGCUGCUGAAGCACUGUCUCCACAUGGACCAACGAGCUGCCCUGAGGCCUGAAACAAACGCACCUCAAAGGGUUAUAGAUAUCCGGCCACUUGGACAGAGGCCAUUUGAUGAAGAAAACAAUCACCCCUCAAAUCAAAAUGCUGAAAGCGAAAUGCUAGAAAUUAAUUUGAAAGAUUUUUUUAGUAGUAAUAUUAGUAGUUAGUAGUAGUAGUAGUUAGUAUUAGUGAUAAUUGUAAUUGUAGUAGGGUUAGUAGAGGGCUCGAGGGGGUGUUGGUCUUCUGUGACGGGGGUUUAGAACAUGGUUGGGGGAUAUGGGGAGCUGCUCAAAGCGAUUUUAGUUAAGUUAGGGAGCAUUCCAACAAUGAGUGGGUGCGUGUGUUUUACCACUAAGCAAUGUAAUCAUUGUUGGAAUGCUCCCUAACUUAACUUGUUUGAGGUGUGGAUUCUGUGUAAAUUUACAAACAAAUAAAACAAGCACACCCACAAAGGAUAUGAAAUUACCAACAAAAGUGAAAAUCAAACCCACCCAAACUACAAGAAAAAGCCGACUCACAAUACGCAAACACCAAAACAAACACACCCUUCAGAUAACUACAAAACAAAAGCUCCAAAAUUGCAAAAUAGAAACGCCCCCCGGACUACAAAACAAACAUACCCAUUUUCUCCACAGUAAAUCAUAAAUCAAACAUACGCAAACUAAAAUAAAAGCACCCAACAGAAAAAUACUACAUAAAUGCUUGCAAAAUACAAAAUAAAACCAUGAACCCACGACUACAAAACCAACAGUGUCCACAGAUUCACCAGCGCCAAACUGACGCAAGCGAAUUAAACGCACCCACACUCUGCGCGUACCUGAGUUGCAGGAUGAGGUCUUCUCCUUCCCUGAUGACACUCAUUGCAGCUUCCUGCGGGUCAGGGUUAGAGUCGGGGUUAGUGUGAGGGUUAGCGCCGUGGGGUCAGAGGCAACAGGGGUGUUAGGGUGUUACGACAGGGUCGAAGGUCAGCGGGCUCACCUGCGUAUUCGCCUGCUGCUGCUGCUGCUGGCUGAUCAAAGCCUGAAGAGCUUCAACGGUGUCGGGACAAACACAGAGGUCAGAGGAGAGCUGCUUCUGGAGGCCCUCCAUCCACACUGAGAGCUGGGGGGGGCAUACCAAGGCUCAAUGAACACAGUCUGUGAAUCCAUGCACUUAUUUUGACAAAUGCCUUUCAGAUGUCAGAGCAGGAGGAGGAAGAGGAGUCAGGAUAGAUGAGGAGGUGGAGGAGGAAACAAAAGCGAGGUAGGAGGUGCCGAGGAGUUGAGGUGGAGGCGGGACAUAGAAGGUGUACUACCUCCUUGGUGUGUGUGUAGAAAGACACAGCGAGGUCCAGCAGCAGCUUCCUCUGUUCAACUCUCUGAAUGAACGCCUGCACACACACACACACACACAAUGAGAACACUUCCUGUAGCUGUCCUUCAGAAUAAAAGCCCCCCUGGUAUUUGUUCACCUGCAUGCGGAGCUCCAGGUCUCUGGCCGCCUGGUAGAUCUCUUCCUCCUUACACUCUCCAGACUGAGCCAGCUGAUCGGCUGCUUCCAGAAGCUUCUCUGCAUUAGUGUAGGUGUUCUGUGACACACACACAUCAGUUCGUGCAGGUCUGGGUAGCGUUCAGGUAGUCCGGGUCUAGGUGGGGUUCAGGUAGUCCGGUCUAGGUGGGGUUCAGGUAGUCCAGGUCUGGGUAGCGUUCAGGUAGUCCGGUCUAGGUGGGGUUCAGGUAGUCCAGGUCUGGGUAGCGUUCAGGUAGUCCAGGUCUAGGUAUCAUUCAGGUAGUCCAGGUCUAGGUGGUGUGUAGGUAGUCCAGGUCUGGGUAGCAUCCAGGUAGUCCGGGUCUAGGUAGGGUUCAGGUAGUCCGGGUCUAGGUAGGGUUCAGGUAGUCCAGGUCUAGGUAGCGUCCGGUAGUACAGGUCUAGGUUGGGUUCAGGUAGUCCAGGUCUAGGUGGUGUUCAGGUAGUCCAGGUCUAGGUGGGGUUCAGGUAGUCCAGGUCUAGGUGGUGUUCAGGUAGUCCAGGUCUAGGUGGGGUUCAGGUAGUCCAGGUCUAGGUG